UGCAUCUAGCAAUUAGUCCACCUUUCCUUUUCUCCUCUGUUCUCAUCUGUACAGACCUCUCCCCUUCUCUCCCCUCUUAUGACUUGUACAGGUAAAAGCAUCAGCUAGCUAAUCCCCUUCUUCCUUCCUCCAUUUGCUGCUAGCAGUGGCUAUCUUCUCCCUCAAAUCCCCACUCUAGUACUGUUGCUGCUGCCACCAUGUUGCUCUCGGCAACCUCAAUGCCCAGGCUACCAACAAGACCUGCCCUCCUAAUCCUCCUCCUUGAGCUCUCCAACCCACAGCUCAAAGAAGUGGACUCCCAUGGCUAGAAUGGAGUCACGCAUGGAGCUCUAAGCCCAGAUGCCCUGACCAGUGCCCCAUAGAGCUCGACAUCACCGUGCAACCAUCCCCUAGGUCCAGUUCUUCCCCAAACCGGCAGUCCUCCUUGCUACUCUCCCUGUCCUCCUCCUAGCCGAGCUGAUGGUGGUGCUCUACGUCACCAUUUUCAGGUUGAUUGGCUACAAAUCUUGGGAAUGGUUGGCAAAUGAGGUGAAGGUGGAGAGGGGUUGUGUUGCUCGAUGUGUUCACUGGUUGAAGGUGAUCGUUGUGCCCCUAUCUAUCUCACCAACUUCCACCUUCUCUUACUUAUUACCAGGAGGUGUUAGGAAUGCUGCCCAUACUUCUCCCUGUUGAUUUUCACUAUUAUUAUGGGUAUGUGUCACAAGCUCACUAGGUACAUUCUUCAUGCAAGGGAACUGCCAAUAUUGAGCAUGAUUGAGAAAAUAAAGACCUAAAUCAUGACUAGAGUGUACAUGAAGCAAAAGGAGGUUGAGGAGAAAUGGAGUGGAAAUAUAUGCCCAAAGAUAAAACAGAAACUAGAGAAGACUGCCGAGUUAGCCAAUACAUGCUACACACUGCCUGCUGGGAAGGGUAUUUUCCAAGUCACCGACAGAGAUCACCAGUUCAUAGUUGAUAUCAAUGUGAAGUGUUGUGAUUGCAGACGCUGGCAACUCACAGGAAUACCAUGUAGUCAUGCCAUAUCAUGCUUUAGGAAUGAAAGGAUACAACCUGAGGACAUGGUAUCUCCAUGCUACUCAUUAGAGUCAUUUCGUGCUGCAUACAAAUAUAACAUAGUGCCUUCAAGGGAUCAAUCUAAAUGGGAAAAAAUGAAUGGUGUAAAUGUCCAACCUCCUAAAUAUGAAAAGAAAGUAGGGAGACCAAAGAAAACUAGGAGGAAGCAAUCCAUUGAAUUGGAGGGUGGUACAAAAUUGUCCAAGCAUGGCGUGGUUAUUCAUUGUAGUUAUUGUGAUGGGGCUGGACACAAUAGGAAUAAUUGUGAAUUACUUGGUACAACUAAAAAGAUGAGACCAAAAAGGAAGAGGAGUGUACAAGUAAUGCAAGAUGACAAAGAUGUUUACAUGAAUGAGAAGAAUUAGUACAAGAGGGCCAACAUAGCACUUCAGUGUUGACUACUUUAUUAGAACAGGCAACAUCAACUCAAUCCUCCAUUAACCAGCUAGGCCCUUUACCGGAUUCAGUCUUCAUUGAAGCUAAUAGAAAUACACUACCACAGCCAAGAGCGACAACAUCUACACACGUGGGCAGAGCAAGGAUGAAGAGAAGCAACACAAGAUCAACAACGGCCAGAUCAUCUAGACCACCUAGCCAGAAGAAAAAAAAAUAGAAGUUAUAUGGGUGCUUUCUAUCUUGUUUUUUCAAUGUUGCAAAAUGCAAAAUAAAAGGUGCACAAUUCAACAAUUGGAUUUAUUCCCCUUUUGAAAUUUAUGGCUUUUGGUUAGUGGAACUUAGUGUUGACUGCUCAUGGAUGUUAUCAGUUAAUGUAAGAUCGUUUUCUAUGUGAUUUUGAGAUGUGGAACAUCAUUAAGAAAUGUUGAUUUAUGAAA